rnacentral:pre_miRNA from 16 species
CAAAAAAAAAACGAGUAAAAAAGCUUUUGUGAACGAAACUACGGUCAUUUCCAGGAAUGUUUUGACCGUAACAACGGUCACAAAAGCUUUCGUUCUCCAACAAAAUAAUUA